AUUCUAUUAAUUUAAAAAAAAUAUUAAUAUGUGAAAUUAAAAAUAAAUAUUUAAUUAUUUAUAGAAUA
rnacentral:tRNA from 1 species